AACAAACGCUGGCGGCAGGCCUAACACAUGCAAGUCGAACGCUCCGCAAGGGGAGUGGCAGACGGGUGAGUAACACGUGGGAAUCUUCCUAUUGGUACGGAAUAGCUCAGGGAAACUUGGGGUAAUACCGUAUAAGCCCGAAAGGGGAAAGAUUUAUCGCCGAUAGAUGAGCCCGCGUCUGAUUAGCUAGUUGGUGAGGUAACGGCUCACCAAGGCGACGAUCAGUAGCUGGUCUGAGAGGAUGACCAGCCACACUGGGACUGAGACACGGCCCAGACUCCUACGGGAGGCAGCAGUGGGGAAUAUUGGACAAUGGGCGCAAGCCUGAUCCAGCCAUGCCGCGUGAGUGACGAAGGUCUUCGGAUUGUAAAGCUCUUUUGCCAGGGACGAUAAUGACGGUACCUGGAGAAUAAGCCCCGGCUAACUUCGUGCCAGCCGCCGCCGUAAGAC
rnacentral:rRNA from 1 species